rnacentral:tRNA from 1 species
GUUGUGGCGCAAUGGAUAGCUCGUUGGACUUCUGAUCCUAAGCUCGUGGGUUCGAAUCCCACCAGAAAUG